GAUGAACGCUGGCGGCGUGCCUAAUACAUGCAAGUCGAGCGAAUGGAUUAAGAGCUUGCUCUUAUGAAGUUAGCGGCGGACGGGUGAGUAACACGUGGGUAACCUGCCCAUAAGACUGGGAUAACUCGGGGAAACCGGGGCUAAUACCGGAUAACAUUUUGAACCGCAUGGUUCGAAAUUGAAAGGCGGCUUCGGCUGUCACUUAUGGAUGGACCCGCGUCGCAUUAGCUAGUUGGUGAGGUAACGGCUCACCAAGGCAACGAUGCGUAGCCGAGCUGAGAGGGUGAUCGGCCACACUGGGACUGAGACACGGCCCAGACUCCUACGGGAGGCAGCAGUAGGGAAUCUUCCGCAAUGGACGAAAGUCUGACGGAGCAACGCCGCGUGAGUGAUGAAGGCUUUCGGGUCGUAAAACUCUGUUGUUAGGGAAGAACAAGUGCUAGUUGAAUAAGCUGGCACCUUGACGGUACCUAACCAGAAAGCCACGGCUAACUACGUGCCAGCAGCCGCAGUAA
rnacentral:rRNA from 1 species